rnacentral:rRNA from 1 species
AACGAACGCUGGCGGCAUGCCUAACGCAUGCAAGUCGAACGAGACCUUCGGGUCUAGUGGCGCACGGGUGCGUAACGCGUGGGAAUCUGCCCUUGGGUUCGGAAUAACAGUUGGAAACGACUGCUAAUACCGGAUGAUGACGUAAGUCCAAAGAUUUAUCGCCCAAGGAUGAGCCCGCGUAGGAUUAGCUAGUUGGUGAGGUAAAGGCUCACCAAGGCGACGAUCCUUAGCUGGUCUGAGAGGAUGAUCAGCCACACUGGGACUGAGACACGGCCCAGACUCCUACGGGAGGCAGCAGUGGGGAAUAUUGGACAAUGGGCGAAAGCCUGAUCCAGCAAUGCCGCGUGAGUGAUGAAGGCCUUAGGGUUGUAAAGCUCUUUUACCCGGGAUGAUAAUGACAGUACCGGGAGAAUAAGCUCCGGCUAACUCCGUG